rnacentral:rRNA from 1 species
AAUCAACGCUGGCGGCGUGCCUCAGACAUGCAAGUCGAACGAUUAAAGCUCUCUUCGGAGAGUGCAUAGAGUGGCGCACGGGUGAGUAACACGUAAGUAAUCUACCCUCGAGUGGGGAAUAACGUCCGGAAACGGGCGCUAAUACCGCAUAAUGCGGCGGCAUCAUAAGAUGACAGUUGUUAAAGAUUUAUCGCUUGAGGAGGAGCUUGCGGCAGAUUAGCUAGUUGGUAAGGUAACGGCUUACCAAGGCUACGAUCUGUAACCGGUCUUAGAGGACGGUCGGUCACACUGACACUGAAUAACGGGUCAGACUCCUACGGGAGGCAGCAGUCGGGAAUUUUGGGCAAUGGGCGAAAGCCUGACCCAGCAACGCCGCGUGAAGGAUGAAGUAUUUCGGUAUGUAAACUUCGAGAGAAUAGGAAGAAUUAAUGACGGUACUAUUUAUAAGGUCCGGCUAACUACGUGCCAGCCGCCGCGGUAAUAC